UACGGCGGGUGCGAGCGUUAAUCGGAAUUACUGGGCGUAAAGCUCGCGUAGGCGGCGUGAUAAGCCGGUUGUGAAAGCCCCGGGCUCAACCUGGGAACGGAAUCCGGAACUGUCAGGCUAGCGUGCAGGAGAGGAAGGUAGAAUUCCCGGUGUAGCGGUGAAAUGCGUAGAGAUCGUGAGGAAUACCGGUGGCGAAGGCGGCCUUCUGGACUGACACUGACGCUGAGGUGCGAAAGCGUGGGUAGCAAACAGG
rnacentral:misc_RNA from 1 species